rnacentral:rRNA from 1 species
GACGAACGCUGGCGGCGUGCUUAACACAUGCAAGUCGAACGGAAAGGCCCUGCUUUUGUGGGUUGCUCGAGUGGCGCACGGGGGAGUAACACGUGUGUAUCCUGCCCCUGACUUUGGGAUAACUUCAGGAAACUGGGGCUAAUACAGGAUAGGAGAUCCUGCUGCAUGGUGGGGGUUGGAAAGUUUCGGAGGUUGGGGAUGGACUCGCGGCUUAUCAGCUUGUUGGUGAGGUAGUGGCUUACCAAGGCAUUGACGGGUAGCCGGCCUGAGAGGGUGACCGGCCACAGUGGGACUGGGAUACGGCCCAGACUCCUACGGGGGGCAGCAGGGGGGAAUAUUGCACAAUGGGCGGAAGCCGGAUGCAGCAACUCCGCGUGCGGGAUGACGGCCUUCGGGUUGUAAACCGCUUUCGCCUGUGACGAAGCGUGAGUGACGGUAAUGGGUAAAGAAGCACCGGCUAACUACGUG